rnacentral:rRNA from 1 species
GCAGCGACGCCGCGUGAGGGAUGACGGCCUUCGGGUUGUAAACCUCUUUCGACAGGGACGAAGCGUGAGUGACGGUACCUGUAAAGAAGCACCGGCCAACUACGUGCCAGCAGCCGCGGUAAUACGUAGGGUGCGAGCGUUGUCCGGAAUUACUGGGCGUAAAGAGCUUGUAGGCGGUUCGUCGCGUCUAUCGUGAAAACCUACCGCUCAACGGUGGGCUUGCGGUCGAUACGGGCGGACUAGAGUACUUCAGGGGAGACUGGAAUUCCUGGUGUAGCGGUGAAAUGCGCAGAUAUCAAGAGGAACACCGGUGGCGAAGGCGGGUCUCUGGGAAGUAACUGACGCUGAGAAGCGAAAGCGUGGGUAGCGAACAGGAUUAGAUACCCUGGUAGUCCACGCCGUAAACGGUGGGUACUAGGUGUGGGUUUCCUUCCACGGGAUCCGUGCCGUAGCUAACGCAUUAAGUACCCCGCCUGGGGAGUACGGCCGCAAGGCUAAAACUCAUAGGAAUUGACGGGGGCCCGCACAAGCGGCGGAGCAUGUGGAUUAAUUCGAUGCAACGCGAAGAACCUUACCUGGGUUUGACAUACACCACAAAGCGGCAGACAUGUCGCCCCCCUUGUGGUU